rnacentral:rRNA from 1 species
AGAGUUUGAUCCUGGCUCAGAACGAACAUUGGCGGCGUGGAUUAGGCAUGCAAGUCGAGGGAAUCCCAGCAAUGGGGGAACCGGCGUAAGGGGCAGUAAGGCAUGGGUACCUACCCUAGGGUUCGGAAUAGCCAUCAGAGAUGGUGGGUAAUACCGGAUGAUGUCGUGAGACCAAAGAUUUAUCGCCCUGGGAGGGGCCCAUGUGAUAUUAGCUUGUUGGUGAGGUAAUGGCUCACCAAGGCAAAGAUGUCUAGCGGGUGUGAGAGCACGACCCGCGCCACUCGCACUGAGACACUGGCGAGACACCUACGGGUGGCUGCAGUCGAGGAUCUUCGGCAAUGAGCGCAAGCUUGACCGAGCGACGCCGCGUGUGCGAUGAAGGCCUUCGGGUUGUAAAGCACUGUCGAGGGGGAGA